rnacentral:rRNA from 1 species
CUGCUGCCUCCCGUAGGAGUCUGGUCCGUGUCUCAGUACCAGUGUGGGGGACCUUCCUCUCAGAACCCCUACGCAUCGUCGCCUCGGUGGGCCGUUACCCCGCCGACUAGCUAAUGCGACGCAUGGCCAUCCUAUGCCGGAGUCGCCUCCUUUGACCCCCUGGAGAUGUCUCCAAAUGGUGUUAUGCGGUAUUAGACGGAAUUUCUUCCGCUUAUCCCCCUGCAUAGGGCAGGUUCCAUACGUGUUACUCACCCGUGCG